UUAAAGAUGUACUAGUUAAAGAUGUACUAGUAUACAUAUGAUUAUGAUUAUAAAUCUCUCUAUUAUUAUGAACUAGAAUACUUCUGUUUUAUUGAUUUCUUAUUCGGAGUGUCAUAUCUAUUCUGAGGUCAUUUGAAAUCAUGGUUAAUAUAUCAUGGAUAUCGUAAGAGCUUUGAGUUGUUACAUAUGGUUUAAAAUAAGAAUUUGUGGGGCU
rnacentral:lncRNA from 1 species